rnacentral:rRNA from 1 species
AAUUUUGGACAAUGGGGGAAACCCUUAUCCCGCCAUCCCGCGUGUAUGAUGAACGCCUUCGGGUUGUAAAGUACUUUUGGCAGAGAAGAAAAGUUAUCUUCUAAUACGAGAUACUGCUGACGGUAUCUCCAGAAUAAGCACCGGCUAACUACGUCCCAGCAGCCUCGGUAAUACGUAUUGUGCAAGCGUUAAGCGGAAUUACUGGGCGUAAAGCGUGUGUAGGCGGUUCGGAAAGAAAGAUGUGAAAUCCCAGGGCUCAACCUUGGAACUGCAUUUUUAACUGCCGAGCUAGAGUAUGUCAGAGGGGGGUAGAAUUCCACGUGUAGCAGUGAAAUGCGUAGAUAUGUGGAGGAAUACCGAUGGCGAAGGCAGCCCCCUGGGAUAAUACUGACGCUCAGACACGAAAGCGUGGGGAGCAAACA